AUACUUACCUGGCAGGGGAGAUACCAUGAGCAUGCAGGUGGUUUGCCCAGGAUUGGGCUUAUCUAUCGCACUCUGGAUGUGCUGACCCCUGCCAUUUCCCCAAAUGUGGGAAACAGCUGCAUAAUGAUUUGUGGUAGUGGCUGUGUUUGUGCUCUCCCCUG